rnacentral:lncRNA from 1 species
AACAUUCCACAAUGUGAUAUUCCCUGGACGAGUUCUCCUCACUAAUAAGAUAUCCUGAUUUGAUGUGUGAUCUUAAUCAUCUACUUCCCUUGUCCCGACGAUGCUCUGCAUACUAUUAACAUAUUACUUCAUAACAUAGGGAACCUCUUCUUAGUAAAUGGCUAAACUCCCAAUUUAGUUUGAUUUUAUACUUUUGUUAAGACUUAAAAGGCUUUGUAAAAACAAGUUUCGAAUUUAAUGGGCCUAUAAGACCCAAAUUCUAUAUCACUAGAAGAAGUUAUAUAUUUUUAAAUUCAUAUAUGUUUAUCAAUAUUAACGAUCAUUUAUAAUUUAGAGACGUUUUGGUAUCAGAAGUCACAACAUUAUGAAAAGCAACAAAAUGCAACAUUACAGCCAUGACAUAGUCAAAAUAUAAUUUUGAUUGAAUGCAUGUGGAUCUAACAAUUAGAACAGACAAUAAUAUGAGGUCAAACAUUUCUAUAUUCCAAUCCCAUGUGGUAGCCUGACCAAUUUUUACGGGGUUUUUAGCUGUAUACAUUUCAUUUUCAUUUUGGUGUCUUAUCAAAUAAC